UACGGGGGGAGCAAGCGUUGUUCGGAUUUACUGGGCGUAAAGGGCGCGUAGGCGGUCAGCACAAGUCAGUUGUGAAAUCUCCGAGCUUAACUCGGAAAGGUCAACUGAUACUGUGCGACUAGAGUGCGGAAGGGGCAACUGGAAUUCUUGGUGUAGCGGUGAAAUGCGUAGAUAUCAAGAGGAACACCUGCGGCGAAGGCGGGUUGCUGGGCUGACACUGACGCUGAGGCGCGAAAGCUAGGGGAGCGAACGGG
rnacentral:rRNA from 1 species